rnacentral:rRNA from 1 species
GGGUUGUGAGGUUAAGCGACUAAGCGUACACGGUGGAUGCCCUGGCAGUCAGAGGCGAUGAAGGACGUGCUAAUCUGCGAUAAGCGUCGGUAAGGUGAUAUGAACCGUUAUAACCGGCGAUUUCCGAAUGGGGAAACCCAGUGUGAUUCGUCACACUAUCAUUAACUGAAUCCAUAGGUUAAUGAGGCGAACCGGGGGAACUGAAACAUCUAAGUACCCCGAGGAAAAGAAAUCAACCGAGAUUCCCCCAGUAGCGGCGAGCGAACGGGGAGCAGCCCAGAGCCUGAAUCAGUGUGUGUGUUAGUGGAAGCGUCUGGAAAGGCGCGCGAUACAGGGUGACAGCCCCGUACACAAAAAUGCACAUACUGUGAGCUCGAUGAGUAGGGCGGGACACGUGGUAUCCUGUCUGAAUAUGGGGGGACCAUCCUCCAAGGCUAAAUACUCCUGACUGACCGAUAGUGAACCAGUACCGUGAGGGAAAGGCGAAAAGAACCCCGGCGAGGGGAGUGAAAAAGAACCUGAAACCGUGUACGUACAAGCAGUGGGAGCACAGAGCAAUCUGUGUGACUGCGUACCUUUUGUAUAAUGGGUCAGCGACUUAUAUUCUGUAGCAAGGUUAACCGAAUAGGGGAGCCGAAGGGAAACCGAGUCUUAACUGGGCGUUAAGUUGCAGGGUAUAGACCCGAAACCCGGUGAUCUAGCCAUGGGCAGGUUGAAGGUUGGGUAACACUAACUGGAGGACCGAACCGACUAAUGUUGAAAAAUUAGCGGAUGACUUGUGGCUGGGGGUGAAAGGCCAAUCAAACCGGGAGAUAGCUGGUUCUCCCCGAAAGCUAUUUAGGUAGCGCCUCGUGAAUUCAUCUCCGGGGGUAGAGCACUGUUUCGGCAAGGGGGUCAUCCCGACUUACCAACCCGAUGCAAACUGCGAAUACCGGAGAAUGUUAUCACGGGAGACACACGGCGGGUGCUAACGUCCGUCGUGAAGAGGGAAACAACCCAGACCGCCAGCUAAGGUCCCAAAGUCAUGGUUAAGUGGGAAACGAUGUGGGAAGGCCCAGACAGCCAGGAUGUUGGCUUAGAAGCAGCCAUCAUUUAAAGAAAGCGUAAUAGCUCACUGGUCGAGUCGGCCUGCGCGGAAGAUGUAACGGGGCUAAACCAUGCACCGAAGCUGCGGCAGCGACGCUGAUGCGUUGUUGGGUAGGGGAGCGUUCUGUAAGCCUGUGAAGGUGUACUGUGAGGUAUGCUGGAGGUAUCAGAAGUGCGAAUGCUGACAUAAGUAACGAUAAAGCGGGUGAAAAGCCCGCUCGCCGGAAGACCAAGGGUUCCUGUCCAACGUUAAUCGGGGCAGGGUGAGUCGACCCCUAAGGCGAGGCCGAAAGGCGUAGUCGAUGGGAAACAGGUUAAUAUUCCUGUACUUGGUGUUACUGCGAAGGGGGGACGGAGAAGGCUAUGUUGGCCGGGCGACGGUUGUCCCGGUUUAAGCGUGUAGGCUGGUUUUCCAGGCAAAUCCGGAAAAUCAAGGCUGAGGCGUGAUGACGAGGCACUACGGUGCUGAAGCAACAAAUGCCCUGCUUCCAGGAAAAGCCUCUAAGCAUCAGGUAACAUCAAAUCGUACCCCAAACCGACACAGGUGGUCAGGUAGAGAAUACCAAGGCGCUUGAGAGAACUCGGGUGAAGGAACUAGGCAAAAUGGUGCCGUAACUUCGGGAGAAGGCACGCUGAUAUGUAGGUGAAGCGACUUGCUCGUGGAGCUGAAAUCAGUCGAAGAUACCAGCUGGCUGCAACUGUUUAUUAAAAACACAGCACUGUGCAAACACGAAAGUGGACGUAUACGGUGUGACGCCUGCCCGGUGCCGGAAGGUUAAUUGAUGGGGUUAGCGCAAGCGAAGCUCUUGAUCGAAGCCCCGGUAAACGGCGGCCGUAACUAUAACGGUCCUAAGGUAGCGAAAUUCCUUGUCGGGUAAGUUCCGACCUGCACGAAUGGCGUAAUGAUGGCCAGGCUGUCUCCACCCGAGACUCAGUGAAAUUGAACUCGCUGUGAAGAUGCAGUGUACCCGCGGCAAGACGGAAAGACCCCGUGAACCUUUACUAUAGCUUGACACUGAACAUUGAGCCUUGAUGUGUAGGAUAGGUGGGAGGCUUUGAAGUGUGGACGCCAGUCUGCAUGGAGCCGACCUUGAAAUACCACCCUUUAAUGUUUGAUGUUCUAACGUUGACCCGUAAUCCGGGUUGCGGACAGUGUCUGGUGGGUAGUUUGACUGGGGCGGUCUCCUCCUAAAGAGUAACGGAGGAGCACGAAGGUUGGCUAAUCCUGGUCGGACAUCAGGAGGUUAGUGCAAUGGCAUAAGCCAGCUUGACUGCGAGCGUGACGGCGCGAGCAGGUGCGAAAGCAGGUCAUAGUGAUCCGGUGGUUCUGAAUGGAAGGGCCAUCGCUCAACGGAUAAAAGGUACUCCGGGGAUAACAGGCUGAUACCGCCCAAGAGUUCAUAUCGACGGCGGUGUUUGGCACCUCGAUGUCGGCUCAUCACAUCCUGGGGCUGAAGUAGGUCCCAAGGGUAUGGCUGUUCGCCAUUUAAAGUGGUACGCGAGCUGGGUUUAGAACGUCGUGAGACAGUUCGGUCCCUAUCUGCCGUGGGCGCUGGAGAACUGAGGGGGGCUGCUCCUAGUACGAGAGGACCGGAGUGGACGCAUCACUGGUGUUCGGGUUGUCAUGCCAAUGGCACUGCCCGGUAGCUAAAUGCGGAAGAGAUAAGUGCUGAAAGCAUCUAAGCACGAAACUUGCCCCGAGAUGAGUUCUCCCUGACUCCUUGAGAGUCCUGAAGGAACGUUGAAGACGACGACGUUGAUAGGCCGGGUGUGUAAGCGCAGCGAUGCGUUGAGCUAACCGGUACUAAUGAACCGUGAGGCUUAACCUUACAACGCCGAAGGUGUUU